AUGGAUAUCUGUCUAUGGGGUCCCUAUGUCUCCCUAUGGGCUCCCUAUGGGGCAGCUAUAGGCUCUCUAUGGGGUCCCUAUGGGCUCUCUAUGGGCUCUCUAUGGGCUCUCUAUGGGGCAGCUGUAGGCUCCCUAUGGGGUCCCUAUGUGUCCCUACGGGGUCUCUAUGGGCUCUCUAUGGGCUCUCUAUGGGGCAGCUAUAGGCUCCCUAUGGGGUCCCUAUGGGCUCCCUGUGGGGUCCCUCUGGGGUCCCUAUGGGGCCGCUGUGGGGUCGCUCUGAGUCACUCACGUGGAGGAGGCACAGCGCCAUCUCCGUCUCGGCCAGUUUGGGAUUGGGAUGGUGUCCCUAUGGGGUCCCUAUGUGUCCCUAUGGGGUCCCUAUGUGUCUCUAUGGGCCCCCUAUGGGGUCCCUAUGUGUCCCUAUGGGGUCCCUAUGUCUCCCUAUGGGCUCUCUAUGGGCUCCCUCUGGGCUCUCUAUGGGGUCCCUAUGGGGUUCGCUAUGGGGUUUCCUAUGGUGGUCCCUAUGUAGCUCCCUCUAUGGGCUUCUCUAUGGGCUCUCCUAUGGGCUCUCUAUGUGGUCCUAUGGGCUCUAUGGGUCCCCUAUGGUCUCUAAUGGGGUCCCUAUGUGUCUCUAUGGCUCCCUAUGGGCCUCUCUAUGGCCCCUUGUGCCUCUCCUAUGGGGUCUCUAUGGGCCCUAUGGGGUCCUAUGGGCUCUCUAUGGACUUCCCUAUGGACUCCCUAUGGGCUCUCUAUGGGACCCCUAUGAGCUUUCUAUGGGCGCUCUAUGGGGUCCCUCUGGGGUUCCCUAUGUGUCUCUAUGGGCUCCCUAUGUCUCCCUAUGUGUCGCUAUGGGGUCCCUAUGUGUCCCUAUGGGGUCCCUAUGUGUCCUAUGGGGGUCCCUAUGGGCUCUCUAUGGACUCCCUAUGUGUCCCUAUGGGUCCCUAUGGUGUCCCUAUGGCUCCCUAUGGGCUCCCUAUGGGCCUCUAUGGCUCCCUAUGGGGUCCCUAGGGGCUCUCUAUGGGGACCCUACGGGCUCUCUAUGGGGUCUCUAUGGGGUCCCUCUGGGGUCCCUACGGGCUCUCUAUGGGCUCUCUAAGGGGCAGCUAUGGGGUUCCUAUGGGGCCGCUGUGGGGUCGCUCUGAGUCACUCACGUGGAGGAGGCACCAGCGCCAUCUCGGUCUCGGCCAGUUUGGGAUUGGGAUCGUGUCCCUAUGGGGUCCCUAUGUGUCCCUAUGUGUCUCUAUGGGCCCCCUAUGGGGUCCCUAUGUGUCCCUAUGGGGUCCCUAUGUCUCCCUAUGGGCUCUCUAUGGGCUCCAUCUGGGCUCUCUAUGGGGUCCCUAUGGGCUCUCUAUGGGGUUCCUAUGGGGUCUCUAUGGGCUCCCUCUGGGCUCUCUAUGGGGUCCCUAUGGGCUCUCUAUGGGCUCUCUAUGGGGUCCCUCUGGGCUCUCUAUGGGGUCCCUAUGGGGCCGCUGUGGGGUCGCUCUGAGUCACUCACGUGGAGGAGGCACAGCGCCAUCUCCGUC
rnacentral:lncRNA from 7 species